GAUGAAGAACGUAGCGAAAUGCGAUACGUAAUGUGAAUUGCAAAUUCAGUGAAUCAUCGAGUCUUUGAACGCACAUUGCGCCCCCUGGUAUUUCGGGUGGCAUGCCUGUCCGAGCGUCAUUGCUGCCCUCAAGCACGGCUUGUGUGUUGGGCCCCGUCCUCCGAUCCCGGGGGACGGGCCCGAAAGGCAGCGGCGGCACCGCGUCCGGUCCUCGAGCGUAUGGGGCUUUGUCACCCGCUCUGUAGGCCCGGCCGGCGCUUGCCGAUCAACCCAAAUUUUUAUCCAGGUUGACCUCGGAUCAGGUAGGGAUACCCGCUGAACUUAAGCAUAUCAAUAAGCGGAGGA
rnacentral:misc_RNA from 1 species